rnacentral:rRNA from 1 species
AAUGAACGUUGACGGCGUGGAUUAGGCAUGCAAGUCGUGCGUGAAGUGUAGCGAUACACGGAAGCGGCGUAAGGGAGAGUAAUACGUAGGUAUUUACCUCGGGGUCUGGGAUAGCGGCGGGAAACUGUCGGUAAUACCAGAUGAUAUCUUUGGAUCAAAGGUGUGAUUCCGCCCUGAGAGAAGCCUGCGGUCUAUCAGCUAGUUGGUAAGGUAACGGCUUACCAAGGCAAAGACGGAUAUGGGGCGUGAGAGCGUGCCCCCACUCACUGGGACUGAGACACUGCCCAGACACCUACGGGUGGCUGCAGUCGAGAAUCUUCGGCAAUGGGCGCAAGCCUGACCGAGCGACGCCGCGUGCGGGAUGAAGGCCUUCGGGUUGUAAACCGCUGUCGAAGGGGAGGAAAUUGUAGUGGGUUCACCCAUUAUAUUGACCGAUCCUUGGAGGAAGGGCCGGCUAAUCUCGUGCCAGCAGCCGCGGUAAGAC